rnacentral:rRNA from 1 species
GACGAACGCUGGCGGCGUGCUUAACACAUGCAAGUCGAACGGACCUUCGGUUUAGUGGCGAACGGGUGAGUAACACGUGGGUGAUCUGCCCUGCACUUUGGGAUAGCCACCGGAAACGGUGAUUAAUACCGGAUACGACCACUCCAGGCAUCUGGGGGGGGUGGAAAUUUUUUUGGGUGGGGGAUGUGCUCGCGGCCUAUCAGCUUGUUGGUGGGGUAAUGGCCUACCAAGGCUUCGACGGGUAGCCGGGCUGAGAGGGUGACCGGCCACACUGGGACUGAGACACGGCCCAGACUCCUACGGGAGGCAGCAGUGGGGAAUUUUCCGCAAUGGGGGCAACCCUGACGGAGCAACGCCGCGUGAGUGAAGACGGCCUUCGGGUUGUAAAGCUCUGUUCUUGGGGAAGAAAACAAUGACGGUACCCAAGCAGAAAGCCCCGGCUAACUACGUGCCAGCAGCCGCCGUAAAAC